rnacentral:rRNA from 1 species
CUCCCUCGUUGCUGACCCCAGGUUCGAUAGUACCAAUUAGGCACCACCUCGCCAAGAACCAACUUCGAUGAAGCGACGGGCGGUGUGUGCAAGG